UACGUAGGGGGCAAGCGUUGUCCGGAUUUAUUGGACGUAAAGAGCGUGUAGGCGGCCUGACAGGUCUGCUGUGAAAACUCGAGGCUCAACCUCGAGAUGUCGGCGGAAACCGUCUGGCUAGAGUCCGGAAGAGGAGAGUGGAAUUCCUGGUGUAGCGGUGAAAUGCGCAGAUAUCAGGAAGAACACCCGUGGCGAAAGCGGCUCUCUGGAACGGUACUGACGCUGAGACGCGAAAGCGUGGGGAGCGAACAGG
rnacentral:rRNA from 1 species